AGAAAUGAAUGACCCUGAUGGAGCUGGUCCCCAUGGAGCCCCAAAACCCAAGCCAAGCCAAGCCAAGGCCCCAAAAGAAACAAUACAGACACAGGAGCCCAAGAGCGGAUGUCUCAGGUUGUUCUGACGCUUCCAUCUGGGGACCACAAUGGACCCGGGAGUUAUUCCACGAGAGAGGGAGAGCCCCUACCAUCGCUUACAAACACACCCACAGAGAGCAUUUUGUGUGGUGACCGCUGGGGCCCACGGAGCCUGGCUGGACUGGUGUUUACUGCUGCCCAAACCUCAGCCCAGACGCUGACGCACGUGAAUGCGGAGUUGCCUUGGUCUAGAG